rnacentral:rRNA from 13 species
CUGGGGCGGCACAUCUGUUAAACAGUAACACAGGUGUCCUAUGGCAAGCUCAAAGAGAACAGAAAUCUCUUGUAGACCAAAAGGGGAAAAGCUUGCUUGAUUUUGAUUCUCAGUACGAAUACAAACCGCGAAAGCGUGGCCUAUCGAUCCUUUGCUUUUUAAAAGUCUUAAACCAGAGGUGUCAGAAAAAUUACCACAGGGAUAACUGGCUUGU